rnacentral:rRNA from 2 species
GCUCAGGAUGAACGCUGGCGGCGUGCCUAAUACAUGCAAGUCGAGCGAACGGACAGGAGUGCUUGCACUCCUUGAAGUUAGCGGCGGACGGGUGAGUAACACGUGGGUAACCUACCUAUAAGACUGGGAUAACUUCGGGAAACCGGAGCUAAUACCGGAUAAUAUAUACCUCCGCAUGGAGGAAUAGUCAAAGACGGUUCUGCUGUCACUUAUAGAUGGACCCGCGGUGUAUUAGCUAGUUGGUGAGGUAACGGCUCACCAAGGCAACGAUACAUAGCCGACCUGAGAGGGUGAUCGGCCACACUGGGACUGAGACACGGCCCAGACUCCUACGGGAGGCAGCAGUAGGGAAUCUUCCGCAAUGGACGAAAGUCUGACGGAGCAACGCCGCGUGAGUGAAGAAGGUUUUCGGAUCGUAAAACUCUGUUGUAAGGGAAGAACAAGUACGUUAGUAACUGAACGUACCUGACG